AUUGAACGCUGGCGGCAGGCCUAACACAUGCAAGUCGAGCGAGCGGCGGACGGGUGAGUAAUGUCUGGGAAACUGCCUGAUGGAGGGGGAUAACUACUGGAAACGGUAGCUAAUACCGCAUACCAUCAGAUGUGCCCAGAUGGGCUGAGCUAGUAGGUGGGGUAACGGCUCACCUAGGCGACGAUCCCUAGCUGGUCUGAGAGGAUGACCAGCCACACGGGAACUUGGACACGGUCCAGACGCCAACGGGAGGCAGCAGUGGGGAAUAGUGCACAAUGGGCGCAAGCCUGAUGCAGCCAGGCCGGGUGUGGGAAGAAGGCCGUCGGGUUGUAAAGCACUUUCAGCGGGGAGGCGUUACCCGCAGAAGAAGCACCGGCUAACUCCGUGCCAGCCGCCGCGGUAAUAC
rnacentral:rRNA from 1 species